rnacentral:rRNA from 1 species
AUUGAACGCUGGCGGCAUGCCUUACACAUGCAAGUCGAACGGUAACAGGUCUUCGGAUGCUGACGAGUGGCGAACGGGUGAGUAAUACAUCGGAACGUGCCUAGUAGUGGGGGAUAACUACUCGAAAGAGUGGCUAAUACCGCAUGAGAUCUACGGAUGAAAGCAGGGGAUCGCAAGACCUUGUGCUACUAGAGCGGCCGAUGGCAGAUUAGGUAGUUGGUGGGAUAAAAGCUUACCAAGCCGACGAUCUGUAGCUGGCCUGAGAGGACGAUCAGCCACACUGGGACUGAGACACGGCCCAGACUCCUACGGGAGGCAGCGGUGGGGAAUUUUGGACAAUGGGCGAAAGCCUGAUCCAGCAAUGCCGCGUGCAGGAUGAAGGCCUUCGGGUUGUAAACUGCUUUUGUACGGAACGAAAAGCCCCGGGUUAAUACCCUGGGGUCAUGACGGUACCGUAAGAAUAAGCACCGGCUAGCUACGUGCCAGCAGCCGCCGUAA